ACGAGAGAUCGUAUCCUUCAGUUCGGCUGGAUCGGAGACAGGUGCUGCAUGGCUGUCGUCAGCUCGUGUCGUGAGAUGUUGGGUUAAGUCCCGCAACGAGCGCAACCCUCGCCCUUAGUUGCCAGCAUUCAGUUGGGCACUCUAAGGGGACUGCCGGUGAUAAGCCGAGAGGAAGGUGGGGAUGACGUCAAGUCCUCAUGGCCCUUACGGGCUGGGCUACACACGUGCUACAAUGGUGGUGACAGUGGGCAGCGAGACCGCGAGGUCGAGCUAAUCUCCAAAAGCCAUCUCAGUUCGGAUUGCACUCUGCAACUCGAGUGCAUGAAGUUGGAAUCGCUAGU
rnacentral:rRNA from 1 species